GACGAACGCUGGCGGCGUGCUUAACACAUGCAAGUCGAGCGGUAAGGCCCUUUCGGGGGUACACGAGCGGCGAACGGGUGAGUAACACGUGGGUGACCUGCCCUCAGCUCUGGGAUAAGCCUGGGAAACCGGGUCUAAUACUGGAUAUGACUCCAUGACGCAUGUUGUGGGGUGGAAAGCCUUGUGCGGCUGAGGAUGGGCCCGCGGCCUAUCAGCUUGUUGGUGGGGUGAUGGCCUACCAAGGCGACGACGGGUAGCCGGCCUGAGAGGGCGACCGGCCACACUGGGACUGAGACACGGCCCAGACUCCUACGGGAGGCAGCAGUGGGGAAUCUUGCGCAAUGGGCGAAAGCCCUGACGCAGCGACGCCGCGUGAGGGAUGACGGCC
rnacentral:rRNA from 1 species